rnacentral:lncRNA from 1 species
AGACAGAUAGGAUAAGACAGCUCAUACAUGAAUGAUUUCUGUUUCUGUUGGAGAUGAAAGUAUUACUAGUCACACAGAGCAAGGGCUAGGGGCUAAAUGAGCUGCACUGAUGGUAAAUGCUGAUAGAGGCCUAUGGAGGGGACCUUGUGGCCCAGGGCAGCAAAAAAUGCUCCAUUGGAGAGAUGGGGUACAUGCGAGUGACAAUGGGAAGAGCUGGUAGCUGGAGAGAACUGGGAAAGCCUUCAGAACGUGGGGCUAAAAUAAGCCCAGAAGCUGAGGAAGGGCUGAGUCAGACCCUCAGAGUGGAGCAAUCACUGCACGGCUGCUCCUUGUAAGAAACAUCCCGUUGCGACUGAGUUGUUUAUUGCCAGGAGCUGUAAGUGAAAAAUGAGCUCUCCUAAGCCAGGCUGGGAGCAGGCUCCUCUUCCUGGAGAUGGCACGAUGCUUCACAGCUUGGAAACGUUCUGUGCCAGUAUAAAAGGGGUGGCAUACAUCCCUCGGAGCAGGAAAGCCUGAUGACAAAGGGGAACGAGCCUGGGCUGGAAGCCAAGUGGCACUAGGGUUAGUCUCAACUUCAUUGCUUACCAGAUAUGUCAAAUGAAUGAUACCCUUACCUGCUGAGAGUCUACCUUUUCUCAGUUGCAAGAUUAAAAUGUAAGCCCAGAUGAUGUCUGAGUUUCUUUCUGGGCCCCGGCUUUCUUUUGGUUUGUCCAGGCAGCUCCGCAAACUCACUCUCAGGCCCUAAAUGAUGUGGGCUGU